CCGGUGUCCGAUUCCACAGGAAUCCAGUCACUGACGGUACCAAGGCGACUUCCGGUCACUGUGCCCAGUAGGAUGUUGUUUGCAGAGGAAUCAUCCAGGAGCCCUCGCCGGGGGAAAAUAUGGCAGAAGUGGACCUGAGCAGCCUCGACAUCCUUAUAAGGAGACAUGAAUAGUCCUCAGCUUUCUGCCUCUCACCUAAAUGGCUGAAAAAGACAUCACGUGUGAGUCUAUAGCCCUCGUGAUGGAAAACGAGUGAGAGUGACGAGACUGCGAGCGUUGUUGGUGCCAGGCAGCAGCCGUCCAUCUGGGAGCAGAACAGCCGCUACUAUCACUGAGAUAAGUAUCUCUUUUGCUGAGGGUUCUGCUCCUCCAGGUAGGGACACCUCAUUAGCUGGGGCUGGGUUUGUAAGAAAAGCUUCCUGACUAGCUGUCAUUAUGAGGGAGACAAGGUCCCCAUUUUCAGGGGCUGGUCAGUUCUCUGGCCAGUAGCAGUGUGUCCUCUGCAGCAGAAGGUUAGAUCCCUGAGAAUGACUGCAGGUGGAAAGUUGCUUGCCAUCCUCCCAUGUUUCUCUCUUUCUUCUCUACUGUGUUGGCCAACAUUCUCCCUCUCUGUCUGUCUGUCCUUGCCUCUCCUUGUGCUGUCUUCCUUUGUAGCACACAGGCAGGCGUGCUCGGAGUGCAUCCCCACGGCCUAUGUAUCAGGAGCCAUGAAAAAGUAGAAGGGGAUGAAAAUAAUGCAGAUUAAUGGGCACGAAAGCGGAGCGGUGACUGUCGGUGUUAACUCGGUCUCUUCAUCAAGUGGGGCUGAUGUAGAUGGGAUGGAAGAGGGAGGCAGGGAUGAGGGCAAGAUUUCAAGCACCAAUAGAGAUGUCUGUACUGAUGGCUCAUGCAUGGCUUUUGCAGCUGCUCUUGCAGAGGAAUUGUCCAGAAGCCCUCGCCGGAGGAGAAGCUGGCAGAGGUGGACCUGCUCAGCCUAAACAUCCUUCUAAGCAGACGUGAACAGUCCUCAGCUUUCUGCCUCCUGCUUUACUGACUGUGAGUAAGAGUGUCAAGAGAAAUGAAGUCACACGUCAGAUUCUAUUGCCCUCAUGCGAUGGAAAGUGAGUGAGAGCAGCGAGCCUGUGAGCAUUGUUCAUGCCAGGCAAGAGUCGUCCAUCUGGGAGCCAAGCUGAUGCCACCGACACUGAGAUAAGUUUCUGUUUUGUUGAGGGUUCUGCUCACGCUCCAUCUGACUCUAGGUAGAGACACACCGUCAGCUGGGGCUGGGUUUGUAAGAAAAGGUUCCUGACUAGCUGUGGUUUUGAGGGAGACAUGGUUUGCAUUUUCAGGGGCUGCUCAUGUCUUUAGCCAGGACUGAUGUGUCCUCCUCAGCAUAGUAGAUCCAGGAGGAUGACUCCAGUUGGUGAGUUUCUUGAUUCCAUCCCACCGUUUUCUCUAUCUCUCCUGUAAUGUGUUGGCCAACACUCUCUCUCUCUCUGUCCUCGCCUCGCCUUGUGCUGUCUCCCUUCGUAGGACAUGGGCAGGUGUGGUAGGUAUGCAUCCCCACAGGCUAGGUCUUGUGAUCUGUGAACAAGUAGGGGACUGAAAUAUUACUGGGCAGUGGGCACUACAGUGCAGGGGUGACUGUGAGUGUUGAUUGAAUCUCUGCCCUUGUGGGGCUGAUGUAGAUGGAAUGAGAGAGGGAGGUGGGAAUGAGGGCAAGAUUAAACGCUCCAAUAGAGCUCUGUGUAGUGACGGUACUUGCUUGCCUUUAUUAGUUUGCAGAAGAAUCAUCCAGGAGCCCUCGCCAGAUGAGAAUAUGCAGAACCGGACCUUAGCAGCCUGGACAUCCUUCUAAGGAGACAUGAAUAGUCCUCAGAUUUCUUCCUUCUGCAUAACUGGCUGUGAGUAAGAGGGAAAGGAAGUCAAGGGUAAGAGCCCACCCCCGUUGUGAGAUGGAAAGCAUGCAAAAGCCAUGAGAAAAUGAGCAUUAUUGAUGCCAGGCUAUGCAGAUGCCAUCGAGCUGGGAGUGGAGCAGCCAUCACCAUCAGUCAGAUAAGUGUCUGGUUUGGUGAGGACUCUGGUAACGGCCCACCUGCCUACAGGCUGGGACUAUUCAUUAGGUGAGGCUCGCUUUGUAGGAAAAGAUUCUUGACUAGAUGCGGUUAUGAGGUAGACAAGGUCCCCAUUUUCAGGGCUGGUCAGUUCUCUGUCCACAAGCAGUGUGUCCUCCGCAGCAGAAGGUUGGAUCCAGGGAGAUGGCUCCAGCUGGUGAGUUUCUUGCUUUCCUCCCAUGUUUCUCUUGCUGUCUGUCUCUUCUCUAGUGUGUUGGCCAACAGUCUCUCUUUCUCUCUCUGUCUCUACCCUUGCCUUUCCUUGUGCGUUCUCCCUUCAUAGGACACGGGCAGCUGUGCUAUGGGUGCAUCCCCACAGGCUAGGUCUCAAAAGCCAUGAACAAGUAGGAGGGGACGAAAAUCAUGCAGGAUAGUGGGUGCAAGAGUGGAGGCAGGUACUCGAAGAUGUCGUGCACCUAGACUGUUUUUGUCUGUGAUGGCUCUUCCAUAGGUGGUUAGCUGUUCUUGCAGAGGGCUGCUCCAGGCCAGCAGAGCAGCCCCAGACAGAGUAGGAGCAUCUGGAGGAAGCAAACGUACCCAAUCUUGCUGUUUUGCUUUGCAGUGGAGCCGAGGAGCGAUCUUGU